rnacentral:tRNA from 1 species
UACCCCCAGGGGAAGUCGAAUCCCCGCUGCCUCCUUGAAAGAGAGAUGUCCUGAACCACUAGGCGAUAGGGGC